rnacentral:lncRNA from 1 species
GUACGGCUUCCACGUUCUGAUCAUCGUCCUCCUCAUCCUCUGAAUCAUUAGAGCUACUCCUCUCCACCGUCUCUGCUACUGCCGACUCCUUACCUGUUGUCAUAUUAUCAGCACGGAACUUGCCUUCCUUUUUGACCAACCCAUCAGAAGCUAGAUGUUCUCGCACAUGGGCAUCUCCGCAUAGCUGAGUAACUAAUGAAGGGAAAAAAAACCCAUACUUUUUGACUUGGCUACGGACGAACAUCUUCUCAUGCAUAACUUUAGCCACAUCAAAGUUGUGACCAUUUACAAAGCACCAUAUCAGAGAAGCUUUGGGCCCAUUUACCUCUGUUGUAUUGUGCCACAGGAUCAAUCAGUUAU